GUCACGGGGACACAUCUUCGUCGUUUAGGUGAAGCAGGACUCAUGAGCGGGUCAAAAUCCAGGGUCCUCUUCAGGGUGGCUCCGCACGCCAUCACUUCAGAUUGUUAAAGGGAGAAUGUAGGUCUCGCUUUUUUUCAACCUUGUCCUCGGUGGCUCCGUCAAUGCAGUCACUCAGCCAGACAGAAACGUCACACGAAUCUGUAAUGUCCCAGAUGUUCAGCCUGAGGACAGCAGAGGUGACGACGACAGCUGUGGACACGGUGAGCUCCCCCAUGUUCUUUGAGGCCAAGCAGAAGGAGACGCCAUUAAAAAAUAACCAGGGAAACUCAUAUUGAGUUUGUUAAAAAAAAGAUUACAUAUUGUAUUAAGAGAUGAGAAAUUGGGGCAAUUAAAUGAUGUAAAUUGCCUGCAAAUUUCAAUGAUGCAGAACAAAAAAACGUAAUCCGCCUAAAGAUAAUAUUUGAAAAGCUUGACAUAAAUGGUGAUUUUUUUUUAGCACCUAGGAGUAUGUGUUAGUCACAGUUUUGUAAACAAAUCUUUUCUCAUACAGUAUUUUUCUUUUUUUUACCAAGAUGAAGUUGGAUUAAAUAUAUGACCCAAAUUUAUGUUUAGUUUCUUUACCAUGGUUAGCAUUUUUUAGUGUCUUUACGUUGGGUCCCUCCAAGAUGAUAAUUUUAUCUUAUGCAUGUAUCUCUAUGGAAUGUCUAAUGAAAACUGUAUAUCAAAUUAACACGACUGUGCUUAAUAUAUAUUUAUAUAUGUCUGCAUAGGUGCACAUUUUUUCAUAUAUACACAC